rnacentral:rRNA from 1 species
UGGGGAAUAUUGCACAAUGGGCGAAGGCCUGACGCAGCGACGCCGCGUGAGGGAUGAAGGUCCUCGGAUCGUAAACCUCUGUCAGGGGGGAAGAACGGCCUGUGUGCGAAUAGUGCAUGGGAUUGACGGUACCCCCAAAGGAAGCACCGGCUAACUCCGUGCCAGCAGCCGCGGUAAUACGGAGGGUGCGAGCGUUGUCCGGAUUUACUGGGCGUAAAGGGUGAGUAGGUGGUUAUACAAGUCAGAUGUGAAAUGGCAGAGCUCAACUCCGUCAUGCAUUUGAAACUGUAAAACUUGAGUGCAGGAGAGGUAAGUGGAAUUCCUAGUGUAGCGGUGAAAUGCGUAGAUAUUAGGAGGAACACCAGUGGCGAAGGCGACCUACUGGACUGUAACUGACACUGAGUCACGAAAGCGUGGGUAGCGAACA